CAAGAUUUCACAUACCAACUAUAUCGCGAAGGGCCGUUCAAGAGUGUGCUCGCUUUAUAAAAUAUUUUGGAUAGAAAUCGUAUUGUUUAUAACAAGCAAAGAAUGGCAGAAGAUGAGCCUGAUUUCGACAAGCAGCAGUUGGCGAAAAACAACAUUUAUUUGGAAUAUGUUGUUGGAAAGUUCAUGGGCGUGCUGGAUAUCAAAACUGAUGUUUAUAUAGAAAUACAAAAUCUGGUGAAAGUUUCAGUCGAAUCUGUCUGCGAAAAGGAACUAAAAAACAAACAGGAUACAAUCGACGAACUGAGAUUCCGGGUAACCGAUCUUGAAACUACCAUAGACAAAAAGGAACAAAUAAUACAAUCCACGAAAGAGAAUUUAAGAUUCACCAAUCGUGAACUUGAGCGGUGCGAAGAUAAAUGUGACAAGAAAGAUCAGGAGAUUAGUGAUUUAAAAUCCGAGUUGUCACAAGCUAAAAAGAACUAUUUGGAGUACAAGGAAAAGACAGAAGAAGCGGCGGAGGAAUUCAAUAAUGAAAAGCAAAUGAUCAAAACAAAAUAUGAGGACAUAAUAAGAAAACUCGAGAGAGAAUUGCUUGACUGGAAGGGGAAAUCAGAAACGAUAUCCACAACGGUGACUACUUUAGAAGAAAAAUUCGCGUCGCUGUCUGUAGACAUCAAGAAUAAGUGGUCCAUGUGGUUCGUGAACUUCAAAGAAGAGAUGCCAAAGGAUCUUGAAUCUCUAUAUGAGGAGCUCCGAAAGAGAUUGGAGUAUGAGUGGACGUUUGAAAAGGAAGAAUCAAUUAGAGAACAAAUUGAGGAAGAACACAACAUGGCCAUUGCAGAAUUGGAAACGAAGAUCAAUGCUCAAGAGAAAAAGAUUGAACGUUUGAGGAAACGCACGUGCCAUCCUGAAGUCGUGAAAAACACUGAACUGAUACAAAAAAUAGUACAGUCUGAAACAGUUGUCGGAAGACAUACGUCAAUUACCUGCAAAGAAACAAAAGGGGCUGCUAGAGCUAAAACUAGAAAUGCCUUUAUACAGCGUCUCAUGAACAGCUUGGUGGAUCUUUGUCAUACUUGGUUUGGAGCAUCAUUAUAAGCUUUUAUCGAGAAAGCAGUUGACAACAAUGCACUGGAAUUUGGGAAUACGCAACAUGAGGAGGUGAAAGCUGAAAAUGAUGACAGAAAUGUUCCAUACAACUGAGAGACUGCGCAUUCAGUUUCGGAUGGGUUUGAUGGAACAGUGUGAUGACGUAGUUUUGACGCUUUUUUAUAGUUAACCAGAUUAAGCAGUAGCUUUAGUGAUAUUUACAAAGACAUUUAAUACCAUAUUCUAUAUUUUGCCUUUUGUUCAUGACAUUUGUGCAAGUCUGCUUAUAUAUACGCUAAAGCAAGUGUUCAAAAAUUGUCUUAACUUGUAUUUGUUUCAUGUUCAUAACAUUCAACUUAAAAUGUCGACAUUAGUUUUUUUGUCCAGAUAUAAAACUUUUUAAGGUAUUACCCAUGUAAUAGUGUACCUCCUGUUGAAGAGUAUUCAC